rnacentral:siRNA from 1 species
GGGAUGGGUCGGCCGGUC